rnacentral:lncRNA from 1 species
UAGACUCUGUUUGUAGGAAUAAUUAUAAUAUUUGAUUCAUCAAAUGAAUAUUGUAAGAAAUAUAUCUCUUCAUGAGUCAUUCAAGAAUGUGGUUCUCUAGGCUGCUACAAGAAACACAUGGAUAUGGAGAGUAUGAGUUACCUGUCGUUGUAGCCUCCCAGUAGUAAAUUUCUUUCAUCUUUCUAUUCAUGUGAGGGACUUCUAAGGAUUCCUUCUUCGAUUUGCUAUAUUCACGUCGCUUGUAUGUUUGUAUAUGCGUUUAUAUAAAUAAAUACAGUCGAACUUGGUUUAAAGGCAGGGGCGUCCGCAGAA